CCUACGGGUGGCUGCAGUGGGGGGUAUUGCACAAUGGGGGAAACCCUGAUGCAGCGACGCCGUGUGGGCGAAGAAGUAUUUCGGUAUGUAAAGCCCUAUCAGCAGGGGAGAAGAAAUGACGGUACCUGAGUAAGAAGCACCGGCUAAAUACGUGCCAGCAGCCGCGGUAAUACGUAGGGGGCAAGCGUUAUCCGUAUUUACUGGGUGUAAAGGGAGCGUAGACGGCAGCGCAAGUCUGGAGUGAAAUGCCGGGGCCCAACCCCGGAACUGCUCUGGAAACUGUGAAGCUGGAGUGCAGGAGAGGUAAGCGGAAUUCCUGGUGUAGCGGUGAAAUGCGUAGAUAUCAGGAGGAACACCGGCGGCGAAGGCGGCUUACUGGACUGUAACUGACGUUGAGGCUCGAAGGCGUGGGGAGCAAACAGGAUUAGAUACCCCUGUAGUC
rnacentral:rRNA from 1 species